rnacentral:rRNA from 1 species
AACGAGUAGGGCGAGCGUUAUUCAUCAUGACUAGGCGUAAAAUGCAUUAAGGCGGUUUAUUAAACUUUGAGUUAAAAUCAGGAAAUUAAAAUUUCACGAAUGCUCAUAGAACUGAUAAACUAGAGUUAAAUAAAGGAAAAGGUGAAUUUUAAAAGUAAAGAUAAAAUUUGUUAAUUUUUAAAGGACAUCCAAAGGCGAAGGCUCCUUUUCUAGGUAAUAACUGACGCUGAAAUUAUUUAAAGCGAAAGCAUGGUAUAUCGAACAUGG